UUUUAACGAGAGUUUGAUCCUGGCUCAGGACGAACGCUGGCGGCGUGCCUAAUACAUGCAAGUCGA
rnacentral:rRNA from 1 species